UACGUAGGGUGCAAGCGUUGUCCGGAUUUAUUGGGCGUAAAGAGCUCGUAGGUGGUUCGGUAAGUCGGAUGUGAAAUCUCCAGGCUCAACCUGGAGACGCCACCCGAUACUGCUGUGACUCGAGUCCGGUAGGGGACCACGGAAUUCCUGGUGUAGCGGUGAAAUGCGCAGAUAUCAGGAGGAACACCGGUGGCGAAGGCGCUGCUCUGGGCCGAAGCUGACGCUGAGGAGCGAAAGCGUGGGUAGCAAACAGG
rnacentral:rRNA from 1 species